UGAUAGCGUCAUCUUGCAAUUCUAAUCAAUUCUGUCGUAAGAAGACAUUCAAUCAAGCUUCAUUAUCAGGACUUGAGGAGCCUCAAUUAUCUCCUGGAAAAGCUCUUCGUGUUGCUAUGUUGAAGAACCGAUUUGCUGAUAUAAUUUUCAAGGCACAAAAAACACUUAACAUAAAGGAAGAAGCAAAUCGGGCUGAAAUGCAUUAUGAAAAAGAGGAAUCCGCA